UUAUCAGAAAUUAAUAAAUAAAUCACAAUACUCGAGCAGCAAUUAUUCAAUCCUCUUAAUCAGUAAUUUGAUGCUAAUAAGUUUUCAUCUUUCAGAUAUCGUGCGCUGAUAUAUAAUACAUUCGGCUUCGAAUCAGGCGUUUUCACGCAGGUACACCCAGUAUAGACGUCUGUAGGUGCCAGCAAGUUGAAACCUGCACGACCGGCAAGGUCGAGGAACCUAACGCAACCAGCCACCGCCGGCGCGAUAUAAACACCGCCGGGAAUGGAAGAGACAGACCUACCUCUUCAGUUUCGAGAUUGCGAAAAAAAAAAGGAGGAACACAAAGAAAUAAGAACCGACCACGCCAUAAUACCGGGAAAAAUACACUUGCACUGGUCGUGAUCGAGACUUCAUUUCACUCCAGUCUUCUACUUUAUGGCCUUUGUUCAUUUGUCUACAACUUUUCGUCCUAAAAUGGAAAAUCUUUCUCUGUAUAUGAGAUAUGAUUGGAUACUUUUAUAUUUAUAUUGGAUACUUACACUUUUAUAAAUAUAAAUUCAAAUUUUUGAGAUUUAAUAUGGUUUAUGAACUGAAAAUAGAUUAGACAUGCAUUAAAUGUUAAUUGUAUAAUAAAAUAACGAAAUUUUAUAAUUAUGAUGUAAUUAUUUCUAAAAUCUAAAAUUUAUUUUUUUUUUGAAAUAAAAAAGAAAGAAGAAAAUAAGUAUAAAAAAAUUACAUAUUUAAAAUACGAUUUCUUUUGAAAUAAAUGUUUUUAACGUCGAAAAGAUUAUUCUUUGUGAUGAAUACAAAUUGCAACUGAUAAGUACAUCGUUCUAGCGAUGAUGAAUUAUGUUUAAUUAGAAAGACUUCGUAGAAUUGGUGAAGCGUGUACUAUUAGGUAGAGUUUGAAACAAUCGAAAGGAAGCCAGGCGACGAAUUAAUUAAAACAAAGAGCGGCCAAUUAAGCCAACGGCGGGCAACGAUCUCGCGUUGCGCAAGUUCCGUAAUACCGUCAAAACGAGACGGUGCUUUCUCUUGGGAAACUAAGCGGCAACAGAAAAUUGUAUUACCGAAAGUAUAAUGUUACAUAAAUUCGAAAGUUUGAUAACAAAAUGAUGCGUCUUCGCAAAUAUCAAAAAUCGAUGUAACGAUUGGAAUUUCAUGUUUUAAUCGUGUGAAUUCGAUUAUUUAAAUUCAUACAUAUAGUUAAAUUCAAAUUUAAAUAUUUACAUUGAAGUAAACGUCGCUUCAUUCAAUAAUUUAUAAGUUAAAACAAUUGUCAAAUAAACAAACUAUAGUAUUAACUUCGUAAAUUCAAAUGUAUACAAAUAUAGUAAUUUUUAGUUUUAAAACAA